GCCUUCGUGGUGUAAUGGUAGCACACUCGGUGCGUAUUCGAGAGGUCCAGGUUCGAGCCCCGGCGGGGGGA
rnacentral:tRNA from 1 species